UAAGCAUAUCAAUAAGCGGAGGAAAAGAAACUAACAAGGAUUCCCCUAGUAACUGCGAGUGAAGCGGGAAAAGCUCAAAUUUAAAAUCUGGCAGUGGUUCACUGCCCGAGUUGUAAUCUAGAGAAGUGUUGCUCACACUGGACCAUGUAUAAGUCUUCUGGAAUGAAGCGUCAUAGAGGGUGAGAAUCCCGUCUUUGACAUGGACUCCCAGUGUAUUUGUAGCAUGCUCUCAAAGAGUCGAGUUGUUUGGGAAUGCAGCUCUAAAUGGGUGGUAACCUCCAUCUAAAGCUAAAUAUUGGCGAGAGACCGAUAGUGAACAAGUACCGUGAGGGAAAGAUGAAAAGAACUUUGGAAAGAGAGUUAAAAAGUACGUGAAAUUGUUGAAAGGGAAACGCUUGAAGUCAGUCACAUUGGCCAGGGAUCAACUUGCUUAAGUGUACUUCCUGGCUGAUGGGCCAACAUCAGCUUUGACUGUCAGAAAAGGGUAGGGGGAAUGUGGCACCCUUCUUGGGUGUGUUAUAGCCCUCUGUCAUAUAUGGCCGUUGGGGCUGAGGAAUGCAGCGCGCCACAAGGCCGGGCUUCGACCACGUUCGCGCUUAGGAUGUUGGCAUAAUGGCUUUAAUCGACCCGU
rnacentral:rRNA from 1 species